rnacentral:rRNA from 1 species
CUAAGAAUCUUCCGCAAUGGGCGAAAGCCUGACGGAGCGACGCCGCGUGAACGAAGAAGGCCGUGAGGUUGUAAAGUUCUUUUCGGGAGGGGGAAUUACCGUGGCAGGGAAUGGCCGCGGGAUGACGUGAAUCCCGGAACAAGCCCCGGCUAACUACGUGCCAGCAGCCGCGGUAACACGUAGGGGGCGAGCGUUGUUCGGAAUCAUUGGGCGUAAAGGGCGUGCAGGCGGCACUGCAAGUCCGGCGUGAAAGACCCCGGCCCAACCGGGGGGGUGCGCUGGAAACUGCGGUGCUUGAGUACAGGAGGGGAUGCCGGAAUUCCAGGUGUAGGGGUGAAAUCUGUAGAUAUCUGGAAGAACACCAAUGGCGAAGGCAGGCAUCUGGCCAUGUACUGACGCUGAGACGCGAAAGUGCGGGGAGCAAACA